GAUGAACGCUGGCGGCGUGCCUAAUACAUGCAAGUCGAGCGAACGGACGAGAAGCUUGCUUCUCUGAUGUUAGCGGCGGACGGGUGAGUAACACGUGGAUAACCUACCUAUAAGACUGGGAUAACUUCGGGAAACCGGAGCUAAUACCGGAUGAUAUUUUGAACCGCAUGGUUCAAAAGUGAAAGACGGUCUUGCUGUCACUUAUAGAUGGAUCCGCGCUGCAUUAGCUAGUUGGUAAGGUAACGGCUUACCAAGGCAACGAUGCAUAGCCGACCUGAGAGGGUGAUCGGCCACACUGGAACUGAGAAACGGUCCAGACUCCUACGGGAGGCAGCAGUAGGGAAUCUUCCGCAAUGGGCGAAAGCCUGACGGAGCAACGCCGCGGGAGUGAUGAAGGUCUUCGGAUCGUAAAACUCUGUUAUUAGGGAAGAACAUAUGUGUAAGUAACUGUGCACAUCUUGACGGUACCUAAUCAGAAAGCCACGGCUAACUACGU
rnacentral:rRNA from 1 species